rnacentral:ncRNA from 1 species
AUUAAAUUUGAUUCUAGUUUGUUAGAAUAGUUUAUGGAUAAAUUUAUAAUAUGUAAGUUUUUACGUGAUAUGCUUUUUAUUUAAAAAAUUUUAAGUUAUAUAAGUUAUUUAUUCGCAGUUUUUUAUAUUAUGUAUUUAAUAACUUAAGACAUAAUUAAUUUUAUUAUGACUAGCAAAAAUUGUGCCAGCAGCUGCGGUUACACAAUUAGUCAAAAUUAUUUUUAUUGGAUUAAUUUAUUAUUAAUUAAUUAUUGAUUUUUAAUUUUAUUAUUUUAAAGUGAAAUUUAAAUUUAUUUUAAAAAUUAGGUUAAAAUAUUAUAUUAUAAGAAAUUCUUAGUAUAAACUAGGAUUAGAUACCCUAUUAUUAUGAAUGUAAAAUGAAAAAUUCUUAGUAUUGUAAGUUAAGAUCUUUAAAUUGAAAGAAUUUGACGGUAAUUUUAAUCAUUUUAGAGGAACCUGUUCUUUAAUUGAUAAUCCACGAUGAAUUUUACCUUUAAAUUUAUAAAAUUAUAUAGUUUGUAUAUCUCUGUUUGAUUGAAUGUUCUUUAAGGAAUAGAUUUUCUUUUAUUUAUAUAUAAAUAUAUAUCAGGUCAAGGUGCAGCUAAUGUAAAGGUUUGAAAUGGGUUACAUUUAAUAUAAAGAAUUAUUGGAUUAAUUUAUUUAUAUAAAUUUAUGAAAUUGGAUUUAAUUGUAAUAUUCAAUUAUAUAUUGUUUAUGAUAUAUGUUCUUGAUUAAGUACAUAUCGCCCGUCACUCUCAUUAUAAGAUGAGAUAAGUCGUAACAAAGUAGUUCUAUCGGAAGAUGGGGCUAGAAUUAA